AUUGUUAGUAUUUCAUUUUAAAUGCUCACAAAAUCUCAAUUCAUUAUCUUGAACUCACUGUAACAAAAAAUAAAAAAUACAGUGAUAUAUUGUGAGUCAUAACUCUUUAAAUUAGUUCAUGUUGGACUUGCAUCCUAAAUGCCCACUAAAUCUCAAUUUAUUAUCUUGAACUCACUGUAACAAAAAAUAGAAAAAUACAGUGAAAUAUCAUGAGUCAUAACUCUUUAAAUUAGUUCAAGCUGGACUUGCAUCCUAAAUGCCCACUAAAUCUCAAUUUAUUAUCAUGAACUCACUGGCUAAAAAAAAUACCAGUGAUAAAUUAUAAUUCACUUGUUAAGUAAAUUACAAGUUAAAAUUGUCCCAAUUGUUAGUAUUCCAUCUUAGAUGCAAUAAGCUCAUCAUAGAGGUGAUGAUAAUAAUAGUAAUAUUUUCAAUUAUAAUAGAAUAAUAAUAAUAAUAAAUGGCGCCAAGUGAAGAAAUAUGCAAUAGCUGUAACAAAAUAAUAUAUGGUCGACAAGAGUCUGUUCAAUGUGAAAAGUGUCCAUUGAGACAACAUGUUGCAUGUUUACUGAAGAAGAACCUAAUUUUUACAAAGACUCAGGCUCCAAAUGUCAUGUCUCCAAAUGUAUGAACAAGUCGCUCCCAAUAAACAAUACUCCAAUGCUGAUGACUCAUAAUACUGAACUAACCUUGCUCUCUGCACCAAAAGAGUUCUUGAAAUAUGUCAGGCAGAACAGAAAUGAGUCAAAUAGCUGUCCCACCUCCAUAUCAAUGGAUGGGGCCAUCAUUUCAAACCCUUAUGAGAUCUGUAAAAUUUGCCUAAGCAUACUCAUUCAGUCACUUGGCGCCAUGUGGUGGAACGGGUUGGCUGUAAGGGGUGAUGGGAGGCCAACAAAUAAAAAAAUAAUAAUAAGAAUAAAAUGAAUGCUCACAAAAUCUUAAUUUAUUAUCUUGAACUCACUGUAACAAAAAAUAGAAAAAUACAGUGAAAUAUCAUGAGUCAUAACUCUUUAAAUUAGUUCAAGCUGGACUUGCAUCCUAAAUGCCCACUAAAUCUCAAUUUAUUAUCAUGAACUCACUGGAUAAAAAAGCAGUGAUACAUUAUAAGUCAUUUUUGCUCCAUGAGUAACAGUUCAUUUUAAUUUUCUACUUGUUAUGUGGAAUUUUACACUGCCAUUAUUGUGGAGGAGUGGAUUGGAUGUAAUAUCAAUAUCAUGUAUAUAUAUCAAUAAAUAAGUAAAUAUCAGUUUUGGAUGUAAGAAUAAUAUCUGAAGGCCAAGAGGCCAAGUUUUUUUGUAAUUCUAUGUUUGUAUGAUUUUAACCCAUUAAGUAGAUGUACAUUUAAAUGUGAAAAAAUUGAAAUAACUACUUGUUAUAAAGAAUUAUACAUAAUAUGUAUGUAUAAUAAAUAUAUAUUAUGAUGGCUACUUUUUCAUUAUUGUGGAGGAGUGGUUUGGCUGUAAGGGGAGAUGUGGAGGCCAAAUAUUUUUGUAAUUAUAUGUUUGUAUGAUUUUAGCCCAUCAAGUAGAUGAUUUAAAUGUGAAAAAAUGAAAUAACUACUCGUUUUAAAGAAUUAUACAUAUAUAUAGUUGUAGUUACUUAGAUUGAAAAUGUAAUUGUUUUUUAAUUUCAGUCUUAGGGGAUAUUAUGUAGGGAAGAAUCGGCAAACAGCCUUUUUGGCCUUGCCACAUUGUACAGACAAUGAUGGGAGAUUCUACAAAAGAAAAAGUAAGUCAUCAACAUUAUCUACUUGUACAAUACUCCGGAUAGUCCGCUAUUGCAUUUCUUGUUUUGUUUGUUCAUUUAUUUUUAUUCAUAUACAAAUGCAACGAUAUAUUACAUAUUAUACAAAUUAUUCAUAUUUAUAUGCAUAACAAUAAUUAUUAUUAUUGGCCUUAUGAAUUUUGAUCUAUUCAUUUAUAUCUAUCUCUUUAAUAAUUUAAAAUUACAACAUUAUUAAUGGACCAACAUGCUUUCUUGAGGUUCAAACUGUUCCAAUUUCAAUUCAUACAACAUUCCAGCUCUAUAAAAUUCUAGCCAAACAGAAUAUUGUAUGAUAGGUAGUGAGUCUUAUCAUAGAGAAAUAUAGCAUAAGAAGAAGAUAGCCCAUGGUAUAGGUCGUUUAUGUUCUGUUUAUAUACUGUUGACUACUGUCUAUUAUUACUUUUCUUGCUGGGUGAGAGUAUAAGAAUGGCACAGUAUGAGAGACUAGCACAUUAUAAAGCGUCACAUAGUUUCUAGAAAAUGUACUACUAAGUUUGAGUUAACAUAAAUGCCCUAUACCUUGAGAUAUAUUCUUAUUUGAUAUUUUGUCUAUGGUCUUCUGUAUGACCAUGACCAUUAAAUAAUUUCAAAAAAGUGUUUAAAAAAAUAGUUGGAAAUCCGCCAUUAGAUUCAAUUCAUUUCUUAUGUAGAUUGUAACUAGAGUAGAUUAUUACAGUAUUCAUAUUCACUAGUUUUUUACAAUAAGCAGAAUAAGUUUAAUUUUUUCUUCAUGUUUGUUUUCAGUGUGCUCCAACAAUGUUUUCCGAAUAACAUUCUAUGUGCAGUGGUUGGGGGAUGGAAGGCACUCGUGGGUGGGCCUCUCUUAUUUGGUGCCCUUUGAGAGGGCACCAAACCCCCAGCACACUCCGUAUGACAUGUUGAAAAAUUACAUCCAAACUCACCGAAAAAACAAGGAAAAUUUAAAGGCCUGCAAAAUCCCAAGGAGGCUGGCGGCGGAAAUAGAUGCUACAGUGGAGGAGGCUCUGGAGAGGCAGGAUAUAUUUGAGUGAAGGACAUUAGAAACAAUGUAAGGAAAGUGAUUUGUAAGGAGUACUCUGGAGAGGAGGGUACAGUGUCUGUAGGGUGAGUGACAAAGAUCAAUUCAUUUCAUUUUCAUUGCUUAUUAAGAAUAAAAAUUCAAUCCAUAUCCAAAAUUAAUUCACUUCGCUUACUAAACAGUCACUAUAUAUAUAGCCUAUUAUCACAAAUUUAUCUACUAUUCAUUCAUUAAUUUCUAAGAUGAUGAUAAUGAUGAUGAUUUUAGGCCUACAAUAAUAAAUUAUUAUCAAUCGAGUACCAUUAUCAAAUUUCAACUGAAUAUCAUAAUAUGUAGCUAUUAAUUCCAAUAAUAAAAUUGUUAUGCUAGUUCACCAAUUUCAAAUCUAUUAUUGUAAAAAAAGUUAUAUUACAAGAUUUGUGAUUACAUUUUCUUAAUUUCCAAAUUAAAUUUAGAAUUGAUUGAUUGAUCAUGCUUGAUGGACAGACAGGGAGACUGCAAACCUCACUCGAUCAUUGUUUAAAUAAUUAAUUUCCAGCUGAUAAUUUUUAUAAAUUCAUGAAUACAUUAUUAUUUUCUAUUUGUUCAUAAAAUAGAAUUACUUUUUAGCGAUUUCCAACUCUAUUUACAAAAAUAGAACAUAUCACUGAAAGGCCUAACAUGUCCUCGCCCAAUUUAAAUUGAUGGUGUAAUAACUGUAAUAAAUAAAUAAAUAAAUAGAAAGGAAUAACUAUUAGACCCCAAAAUGUUCAAUACAUAGGCAUUUUUGUUGCACAAAAGCCUUUCAAAAUUUAAUCAUGAUUAAAUUCCGCGAGAACCAAUCAUAGAAGAUUUUUCUGAGAAUAAGGCUUCUUUGAUUAGUUCUCAUGGAAUUUAAUCGGGAUUAAAAGCUAUCAGACUUUGUGCAACCGGGCGAUAAUCCUCUAAAAAACAAACCCUCAAAUAAGCAAAUUAAAUUUCCAAUAAUAUAAUACUUAUCUAUCUUCAACAUACAUAGUCCCCUAUGCUUCAUAAAGUAGAUAAUUGAUUAUAAUUAAGAAUAAUAAGUAUUUCAAUAUCAUUUCCUACCUCUAAUUCAAAUUUUUACAAAAUACUGAAAAUGCAUACUAACAGCAUAAUAAACACAUCUGUUUGUUGUUUGACAAUAAAUAAUACUUGACUGAAUAAAUAAAUACAUUCAAUGAAAAUCUAAAUUAAAAUUAAACUGAACAAAAAUUAAUAUCUGCCUAAAAGUUGAAGUAGAAUAUCGCUUACAAUAAUAAAAAUUAAUCAUCUUCAUGUAUAUUUCUGUAAAUUAGUCCAGAUAUUUAGCAUUGGCCAAUCCCAUAAAUCAAUAGAAUAAUAAUAGCACUCUACCUUCAGAUAAUUGCAGUUUCAAGUCUGCAAACUCCAAGACAAAUAAUUACAAUGUUUCAAGUAGAAAAUUGAGGCUCUGGUUCAAUCUUGACUUCCACCUUGACCACUGACUGACUCUGACCUUGGCCACGACUCGACCUUGACUUGACCUUAAUACCCCCUCAAUAUCAUUUUACCAUAUUAUCCUAAAACUGUUUAAAUUAUUCGACUAUUUGGGGAAAUUUUGUUUUUUCACAGUAAAUAAGUUUCAUAGCUUCAUAUUUGUCAAGAUUGUUCAAGAGCCCACAAUUUCUAUUUACUAUCUAGUUCAACUGAAAUUUGUCAUUUUGAAUAGUUUAAUUAAUACCAAGUCCUCCAAAAAGAAAAACAGAUCUGUAGGGUUCAAUUAUUAGGAAUAUUUUCAGUCUUUUACAGUAAACAGUAAUCAUAUAACCAACCAUGCAUGAUUCAGGAACCAAAACUUCUUUCAUCCAAGAAUAGUUGAAUUACUAUUGAGCAUUUCCUGGACAGGUUUCCUUAUUUCAGCCUAGUUGACUGAUAAGUCUGAUAGGCCAAAAUAUAUUUUUCAAAAAAUCAGUUGAUCUUUUGAUGGCCAAAGCAUAGGAUAUUCCAUAAAUUUGAGGGAGGUUCAGAUGAAUUUCUGGUACAGUCAUUGUACCAGACAAAUACAUUGCUUUUAAACAGAUGGAACUGGAUUUUUUAUGGUAGAGUAACUUUUGUAUGUUGGUUGGAACAAAUCGGUUCAUUCUUGACUUGCUUUUGUUGUUCUCUGAGAGGAAUUUCUACAGUUUGGACGUUCAGAUGUUGCUGCAUUAUCAUGAAUAUGGAGGAUUGAAUGCUCCAAGGUUUUUGGAUGAUAGGGUUUGGGGAAUUUUUUUUGUCGACCAGUUGUGGUAGAGGUAUCAUUGUGAUGAGAAACUGUUGAAUGUGAUGUAAGUAUCGGUUCCACACACUUUGUGAGUCUGAGGCCUGAAGGCGGCCUUGAGGCGCCCGAGGCCGCCUUGAGGCAGAGGCCACCUGUGUGGGCCAGUCAAGGUAUUUGCAUUUCAAAGUAAGUAUUGUCCAAUCCCCACAGCAAGCUCAAAGACCCCCUGAAUACCCCAAAUUUAGUACAUCCACUCUGAAUACCCCGCUUUUAUACCACCCCCUGAAUACCUCAAAUACAGUAUACAAAUCCCCCCCAACCAAAGAUUUUUUUAUUUACCACCAAUAAUUGUUUUGACCCCUCCCCCAAAUAAUUUUAAUCACACUGUUUGCUUAUUCGCCCCCCCCCCCAGUGAUCACCUGUUGUAAGUUGUUGGCUCAAGCUGUGUGGUGUUGUUGGGAGGUUUUGUUGUGGUUUGCUGAGUGGUACAGAGGGUUUACUAUGUGGUCGAGGUAAACUCUCUCAGCUGUUGACCAAAGUCGACAAUGAACCCUUUUUGUUCCAACCAACAUACAAUGAAUGAUUACGAAAUUCAGAUAAGUCUAGAACUUCCAACUCCCUACUUUUCCAAAAAACAAGCUGAUUUGUAGACAAGUACUAGUUUUACCUUCCAGGUUGCUCAAAGAACGUAAUUCAACUAGGUAGCUUUUCUCCGCAAUGCUCUAAUUACUGCUGUUCAAUGAAUAAUGAGUUAACCACCAAACUGCAAUAUCAAAUUAAAUCAAAUCUUCAUUUUUCCCAAAAACAUAAUUACAAUGUCAAUGUUUGUAAGAAAGUAAUAUAUAAUAUAAAAUGAAAUACCAACAGAUAGGUUAAGAUAUUAAUAUAAUACAUACCAAUAUAAUGUAUAUAACAUAACAAUAUAACAUAAUUACAAGUGACAAUGGUUAAAAAGGAGUAAAAUUCAAUAUAAAAUGAAAAAUGAAAUACCAUGCAAUAGGUAAAAAUGUGAAUGCAUAACAAUAUAACAUAAUAAUAUAAACAUAAUUUCAAUGACAAUGGUAAUAAAAAACUAUAAUACAAUAUAACAUGAAGAAUGAAAUACCAUCAAAUUGGAUGAAAUAUAAAUAUAUUAAACAGCAAGUCUCUGCAAGGUUUGAAAAAAACCUGAGUGCAGAGGCUAAGUGUUAUUGAAUUAUUAAUAAAUAACAAUAUUAUUCAAAUAAAUAUUUAAUAUUAUUGAAAUAGCAAUAGUAUAAAUCUAAACAUAAUUCAUGCUCAAAUCCCUUCCUGUUUCUCAAUCUCUCUCUCUCUCUCUCAAUGCUACAGUUUUCUAUUCAGAACCAUCUUUUGGUUGAAAAAUAUUUUUUGUUGAUUAGUUCAUCAUCUAAGCAUUGGGCUAGGACAUCAUUUUGGUGUAGGACUCUUAAAAUAUAUAAUAGCUUUAAUGGAACUCUCGUUGGAAUAAAGCAGAAUGUAAAAUUCAUUUUUAUGCCGAAUGAGAGAGUGAUUUUGAAAUAAUUAACUUGAAAGGAUAUCCUCUCCACAACUAAGCUCUGUCAAUCAAGCAUCAUCAAUCAAUGAAAAAGUAUUAAACAAUUGACCAUUUUUUUCAAUUUAGGCAAUACUAUUUCUGUAUGAUAAUUAUGAACAAAAUUUUCAAUCAUUAUUAAUCAGUUGUUAAUAUUAUUACCAGUAUUUCUAUUUUUCAAUCAUCAUCAUUAUCAUUUCAAAUCAAUUGAAACUAUUCCUUAUUUGACAGUUUAAUAGAUUCCGUUCCACAUUUCAAAAUCAAAACCUUUUUCUCCUAGAAAUAUUUUUGUUUUUUCCUUUGAAAAUUUUCAAAUUUGUUUUUCCAAAUUUAAUUUUCCUAAUUGUAUUUUAAAAAUUCACUUUCUCAUAAAAAAUCAAAAUUUUCAUAUAUAUGAAUUGAUUGAAUCACUCAAUCAUAAUAAAGACUGUGCCCAAAUCUCUGAGUACUCCAUCUCACUAAAUUGCUCCAGUAAAACUUACUCACUUGCUCCAGCUCAUUUAGAACCUCAGCCUCCUUCAGAAAGCCUCUCCACUCGCCUCUUCGACAGCCUUUUCGACAGCCUCCUCGACAGCCUCUUCGACAGCCUUUUCGACAGCCUCCUCGACAGCCUCUACAACAGCCUCUUCUACAGCCUCUAGGUCUCAAUCCCCGGCCGGCUCUUCCUCAUCGUCCUCCACAUCCUUGAAAAAUAACAAAAAAUUCUUAGGGGAUAUUAUGUAGGGAAGAAUCGGCAAACAGCCUUUUUGGCCUUGCCACAUUGUAACAGACAAUGAUGGGAGAUUCUACAAAAGAAAAAGUAAGUCAUCAACAUUAUCUACUUGUACAAUACUCCGGAUAGUCCGCUAUUGCAUUUCUUGUUUUGUUUGUUCAUUUAUUUUUAUUCAUAUACAAAUGCAAUGAUAUAUUACAUAUUAUACAAAUUAUUAAUAUUUAUAUGCAUAACAAUAAUUAUUAUUAUUGGCCUUAUGAAUUUCGAUCUAUUCAUUUAUAUCUAUCUCUUUCAUAAUUUAAAAUUACAACAUUUGUAAUGGACCAACAUGUAUUUGAUUAUUACAAUUGAUUAUUACUAGAGUAGAUUAUUACAGUAUUCAUAUUCACUAGUUUUUUACAAUAAGCAGAAUAAGUUUAAUUUUUUCUUCAUGUUUGUUUUCAGUGUGCUCCAACGAUGUUUAUAGAAUUUCGUUCUAUGUGCAGUGGAUGGGGGAUGGGAGGCAUUCCUGGGUGGACCUCUCUUAUUUGGUGCCCUUUGAGAGGGCACCAAACCCCCAGCACACUCCGUAUGACAUGUUGAAAACUUACAUC
rnacentral:lncRNA from 1 species